rnacentral:rRNA from 1 species
AACGUAGGAGACAAACGUUAUCCGGAGUUACUGGGCGUAAAGGGCGUGUAGGCGGUUUCGUAAGUCUGGUGUGAAAUCUCUCGGCUUAACCGAGGCAGGUCGUCGGAUACUGCGGGACUAGAGGACGGUAGAGGCGUGUGGAAUUCCGGGUGUAGUGGUGAAAUGCGUAGAGAUCCGGAGGAACACCAGUGGCGAAGGCGACACGCUGGGCCGUACCUGACGCUGAUGUGCGACAGCAUGGGGAGCAAACAGG